rnacentral:lncRNA from 1 species
CUGCAGGACUAGAGCCCUGGGGCCAGGGUAGACCCAGCAUCCACGGUGCACCACAGGGGAGCUUCAUCUGGAUGGAGACCAGCUCUCCCUGCAUCCUGGUGCUCUGCCUGGCAGUGCAGUGGAACCAGGGAUGGAGCUGCAGGAUGAUACCAGAACUUCAGGAACUGCGUUGCAGGUGUCACACCUUGGAUUCACCAUAGCUGGCUGAAAGCAGCGGCAGCAGUGACUCCGAUGACAACCAGUGGAUUAGCCAACAAGACCCAGAUCACCCCACCUGAAUGGUCCUACAAUGAAAUCCAACCACUGGUUAUUUGCUGAGAUCAGCUCGAUCAUGGAGACCCCAUCCCAGCCGCACUAGAGGAAUUGAAGACACAGACACAGAAAUAGAAGAAUCAGGAGGCUAACAGCCUUCAGAGCUGAGAGCCACAAACGGAGUUUGACCCAUAUAUUUAUUGACAGCAAGACAAUGGUUUGUUUCAGUAUGCUGGGCGUCCACUCUAAACCCUGUUCUUCUAUCACCAGUGGAAGAUGCAGAACAGCAAAGACUGCUGCCUGUUCCUUUUUCAGGAAGCUUCAUCCCAGGGGGGCACUGAUUUGAUACCACUGGGAGCUCUCCUGUAUGAGGUACCUGUUGACCCCUGUUACAUGGUCUCUCCCAGUCAGGAGGCAUGGGGUUAGGAGCCCGCUUAAGGAGGCAGUCUGUCCCUUAGCAGAGCUAAUGCUCUGUGCUGGGAGAAACCCCCUUAUCAGCAUCAGCCACUCUCUUCAGAGCUGGAAGGUGGGAGAGAUUAAGUCUUCCAAACCUGAGACUGCUGCUGCCCCUCCCCUGACAUGCUCUGUCCCAAGGAUCUGAGAGUCUUCUCUGUAAGCCCCUGACUGGAGCUGCUGGAUUUUCUGCAGAGAUAGGCUGCCCAGUGAGGAGAAAUCUAGAGAACCAGUCUGGCCGCAGCCACUUAGCUGCACUGUGGUGAAUUCUGCCCACUUCCCUUAGCACUGUUACGGGAAAACCGCCUACUAAAGCCACAGUAAUGGAGGUCACCUCUCCCCCCACCAAACUCAAUCAUCCCAGGCAGACUCCAGACUGCUGAGCUGGCAGUGAGAAUUUCAAGCCAGGGUCCUGGUAGUGUAGGCUGACAAGGGAAUCUCCUGAUACGCAGAUUGCAAAAACCCAUGGGAAAAGCAUAGUAGCCCAGGUGGGUAGCAUAGUCCCUUACCACUUCCCUUGGCUGGGGGAGGGAGGUCCCCAGCUCCUUGCACUUCCCAGGUGAAGCACACCACACCCUGCUUCUUCUUGCUGUCUGUGCUGUACCCACUGCCUAGCCAGUCCCAGUGAGAUGAACAGGGUACCUCAGCUGGAAAUGUAGAAGUCACCUGCCUUCUGCAUUGCUCUCACUGGGAGCUACAGACUGGGGCUGUUUCUAUUCAGCCAACUUGAACCCUCCCCUUCAUUGUGGUUUCUGAUUUGCAUUUCUCUAGUGAUCAGUGAUGUUGAGGGUUUUUUUCAUAUAUUUGUUGGCUACAUGUAUGCCUUCUUUUGAAAAGUGUCUGUUCAUGUCUUUUGCUCAAUUGUUAAUAGGAUUACUUUUCCUUACACAUAUUUUGAGUUCCUUAUAGACACUGGAUAUGGAAAUUAGGCCUUUGUCAGAUGCAG